GACCAAGGAUAAAAUUGUCUUUAUACUCUCCAUCUAGAAUUGCCUUUUCGAUUUUCUCAUCUUUUCAAUCUGUCAUAGUCCUUUUAGCUUCAUCUGCCAUAAAACACGUACUUGUACUCGCCGGCGACAGCAACCAAGCCCAAAAGUAAAUAUGAUUGAGAUUUUCGUUUAAAAGGAAAACUAAAAUAUUGGGAUUCUGCUUGGUCGAAUGAAGGAAAAAGCUGUUAUUGCCAAGAUCUGCGAUGGAACUUCAUGAUCUUCUGGCACGAUGUUUGGUGAUGAUCAUUGCAGUGGUACAAAUUGCUAGGAUCAGCUCAUGUCUCGGUACUGAAGUAUUAAAUGAACACCUGUGUAUCGCUGCAAGACAAUGUCAAAUUUGCACCAAAGCUGUCUGCUUUACAUCGAAAGCUGAUUGGUGAAGGCUCCCACCGGUGUCUGUCAUCAUCUCUCAGAUUGAAGAUGCCAUCGGAGUCCAUUUCCAGGCCUCCAAAAUCUUGUGAGGUGAUAAUUGUUGAAAGACUG